GCCGAUGUAGCUCAAAUGGCAGAGCACCAUCCUUGGGGGAUGGAGGUAGCUGGUUCGAUACCAGCCGUCGGCU
rfam:Parcubacteria bacterium GW2011_GWA2_46_10 TX29_C0007, whole genome shotgun sequence.